AUACAAAUGCUCCCUUCGGGAUGUUUAUUUAAAAACAACAACAACCACCCGCUUUUCACGGAACUAUUUUAAACCCCUCUGUCCCGUUAGCCCCGGGCAUCGGUAAGCUGUCCUACGGCUUCCCAGCCCCUCGCACUUUGAUUCUCUUUUAUAGAAGUUAAGAGUGGAGCCAGAUUGUCCCGCUGAUGCCUCCGCCAGAGCUUGAAGGUCACUUCCUCCGUCCAACGGGUGCGCUCCGCGUGUGCUGUGUAUUGGAAGCAGUUGCCUGGAUACUCCCCGCACACAGUCCCCACCCCCCGCAGCAGCCGCCGGCGGCAGGGCCUGUGUGAGAUGAGGUAAUGGGCGGGGGAAGAUGAGCGAGCCGGGCAGCGACUGAGGAACAAGCUCGGGGCCCGGCGGAGACUGGAGCGCGAUGGUGAGAGAAGCAGCCGGCGCCGCCCGUGCCUUUGGCUGCUGAAGCGCCCCCUCCCGAGCCGCGGGGCCAGGGUGCAGGGACCCGAGCCGCUCAGCGCAGCCGCGCACAGUUGCAUUUGGGAUCCCGGCCCCAGGACGCUGCAAGCCCCAGGCGGAGGCGAGGAUCCCGGUCCAUAGUCCCAGCGCGACGGCGUAGCUCAGCACACGGCCGGGAGGGGAGGACAGCGGGCGCCAGCCCAUCACAUAGCCCGGCCGGAGUAGGGCGUCAGGGUCCCGGAUCGCGCUGCGGACACUGCCCGUCAGCAGCAGCAGCCACCCCAGGGGGGCUUCUCCCACGUGCGCUGCGGGCCGGCUGCCUGUAUGUUGCCGUGGGCGGGUAAUCGCGGGCAGGGAGGUGCUUGCGGUCCCCCCGCUCCAGCGUCCCCCCGCCUUUCCCUGUGUGCAGCCUGAAAGCAGGAGGCGGCUGAAGCACCGUCAGCCGCGGCCAAGGGGAAGCCGAGCGGCCCUUCUCCCCGGCCCCGCCGCCCAUGGGCAGCUGCAAGCAUCACGCCCGGCGGGGAACCCACAGGCACUAGCAACAGCAGCGCGGCGCAAAGGGAAACCCCUGCAGCUGCCCGCCCAGCAGCGGCUAUUGCGCGGGCAAUCCGGAACAAUUUCCACUCAAGGAUAUUGUGUAGGAAUUAUUGACGAGUCUUCCAAACCGUUUCCUAUUAUUGUUGAAAUUUAUCACUUGACUGUCAUCCAUGACUGGAGCUGCUUGCAUUUCGAGGCUAACUGUGCAGGAAGACUUUAAAUCGUGAUGUCUCUGCUGCCAGGUGACCAAGCUAAAGAUUUGUAUAUGUCAAUCAAAAGUUACUUGAGAAUUUGGAUCUUGUUUUUUCCAUCAUGAAACAGAAAAGGGAGCAAAGGGUGUAAUGCUUCAGAGUACUAAUAAUGUAAAAGAAAAAGCUCUUUGACAAAGUUUAGUGGCCUGUAUAUAAAUACUCUGCCAGAAGAUAAACAUUGAGGGAUAGGGUUAGGAGACUUGCACCUGAGCCAAAGUUACAAAUACAGUCAAGUGACCUUACAGCAAGAAAAACUGUUCAUGUGAGGAAGAAAGGGUGGGAGGAAGCACAAAUAGAAGCAGCAUUUACUAAAAAGAGGCUGUGAGCUAAAUGAGCUUUCAGUGAAGUGCUGGCUGAGGACAGAAGAUUCAAGAACAGCCCACAAAUGAAAUAUUUUGCUGUUGAUCAACAACAAAGGGAUUGGAAACAAGGCCCAAAAAGGGUUGAUACAGACUAUAAUGUUGUGACGCUAUUUACUGUCUUGGUAGGGUUUUGUUGGAAUGUAAUAAGUGUGUUAUGUUUAUACAGUGGCAUUGCCAUCCACAUUUUAAGUUG